rnacentral:rRNA from 1 species
GCGCAUGCAGGUGGUUUGUUAAGUCAGAUGUGAAAGCCCGGGGCUCAACCUCGGAAUUGCAUUUGAAACUGGCAAACUAGAGUACUGUAGAGGGGGUAGAAUUUCAGGUGUAGCGGUGAAAUGCGUAGAGAUCUGAAGGAAUACCGGUGGCGAAGGCGGCCCCCUGGACAGAUACUGACACUCAGAUGCGAAAGCGUGGGGAGCAAACAGGAUUAAUACCCUGGUAG